UACAGAGGGUGCGAGCGUUGUUCGGAAUUACUGGGCGUAAAGCGCGCGCAGGCGGCUUUCUAAGUCCGUCGGUGAAAGACCGGGGCUCAACCCCGUGUCAGCCAUGGAUACUGGGAGGCUGGAGACAGGUAGAGGCAAGCGGAAUUCCGGGUGUAGCGGUGGAAUGCGUAGAUAUCAGGAGGAACACCUGCGGUGUAGACGGCUUUCUGGACCAUUACUGACACUGAGACACGAAAGCGUGGGUAGCAAACAGG
rnacentral:rRNA from 1 species